CUAUUGCAUUGUAUGGCCUCUCUGAGUCUUCUGUACUGAAUAAGUCAAAACUUUCAACAACGGAUCUCUUGGUUCUGGCAUCGAUGAAGAACGCAGCGAAAUGCGAUAAGUAAUGUGAAUUGCAGAAUUCAGUGAAUCAUCGAAUCUUUGAACGCACAUUGCGCCCGCCAGUAUUCUGGCGGGCAU
rnacentral:rRNA from 2 species